rnacentral:rRNA from 1 species
UACAGGGGAUGCAAGCGUUAUCCGGAAUUAUUGGGCGUAAAGGGUCCUGAGGUGGCUAUCCAAGUCUAUUGUGAAAUAUCAGGGCUUAACCCUGAACAUGCGGUGGAAACUAGAAAGCUUGAGUACAGUAGGGGCGGAGGGAAUUUCCGGUGGAGCGGUGAAAUGCAUAGAUAUCGGGAAGAACACCAACGGCGAAAGCACUCCGCUGGGCUGAUACUGACACUGAGGCACGAAAGUGUGGGGAUCAAACAGG